rnacentral:rRNA from 1 species
UACGUAGGGGGCGAGCGUUGUCCGGAGUUACUGGGCGUAAAGCGCACGCAGGCGGUCUGUUAAGUUUGGAGUGACAGUUGGUGGCUUAACUGCCAAAGUGCUUCGAAAACUGACAGACUUGAGGGCUUCAGAGGGACACGGAAUUCCGGGUGGAGUGGUGAAAUGCGUAGAGAUCCGGAGGAACACCAAAGGCGAAGGCAGUGUCCUGGGGAGUACCCGACGCUCAGGUGCGAAAGCCAGGGGAGCGAACGGG